rnacentral:lncRNA from 10 species
GUCUUUGAUUUUUGAUAAUUUGGUUGUUAUGUGUCUUAGUGAACUCCUCUUUGGGUUGAAUUUUACUGAAGACUAAGCUUACUAAACUUGGAUUUUUGCAUUUUUCUAAUAUUUGGGAAGUUUUCAGCCAUUAUUUCUUCAGUUAUGUUUACUGGUUUUUUAUCUGUCUCUUAUCCUUUUGAACUCCUGUUAUGAAAAUGUUAGUUCUAAUGAGAAUACAUGGACACAGGGAGGGGAACAUCACACAAUGGGGCCUGUUGGGGAAUGGGGGAAAAAUGGGAGGGAGAGCAUUAGGACAAAUACCUAAUGCAUGUGGGGCUUAAAACCUAGAUGAUGAGUUGAUAGGUGCAGCAAACCACCAUGGCACAUAGGUACCUAUGUAACAAACCUGCACAUUCAGCACAUGUAUCAAGUAAAAAUAAAUAAAUAAAAUAAAAUAAAACGUCCAAAAAAAAGAAGAAAAUGUUAGUUCUUUUAAUGGUGUACAAUAAUUCCUUCAGACUUUCUUCAUUAUUUUUAAUUCUUUUUAUUUUGGCUUCUCUGACUGAAUAAUUUCAAAUAUUCUGCCUUCAAGCUCACUGAUUCUUUUUUUUUUCUUUCUUUCUUUCUUUUUUUUUUUUUUUAAUGAGACAGGGUCUCACUUUGUCACCUAGGCUGGAGUGCAGUGGUGUGAUCUUGGCUCACUGUAUUCUUGACUUUCUGGGCUAAAGCAAUCCUCCCACCUCAGCCUCCCAAGUAGCUGAGACUACAGGCAUGUGCAACCACACCCAGGUAAUUUUUUGUAUUUUUUUUUUUUUUUUUUUUUGUAGCAAUGGGGUUUUGCCAUGUUUCCCAGGCUGGUCUUGAACUCCUGAGCUCAAGCCUUGGCCUCCCAAAGUGCUAGAAUUAUAGGUGUGAGGCACCACACCUUGCCUGAUUCUUUUUUUUUUUUUUU